rnacentral:rRNA from 1 species
AUGACAAGCGUGACCAAAAAUCAGUUUGGUUUCAUGCCUGGGAGGUCGACCAUGGAAGCCAUUAUCUUGGUACGACAACUUAUGGAGAGAUAUAGGGAGCAUAAGAAGGACUUGCAUAUGGUGUUCAUUGACUUGGAGAAGGCCUAUGAUAAGAUACCGCGGAAUGUCAUGUGGUGGGCCUUGGAGAAACACAAAGUCCCAGCAAAGUACAUUACCCUCAUCAAGGACAUGUACAAUAAUGUUGUGACAAGUGUUCGAACAAGUGAUGUCGACACCGAUGACUUCCUGAUUAAGAUAGGACUGCAUCAGGGGUCAGCUUUGACCCCUUAUAUUUUUGCAUUGGUGAUGGAUGAGGUCACAAGGGGUAUACAAGGAGAUAUCCCAUGGUGUAUGCUCUUUGCGGAUGAUGUGGUGCUAGUUGACGAUAGUUGGACGGGGGUAAAUAGGAAGUUAGAGUUAUGGAGACAAACCUUGGAAUCAAAAGGGUUUAGGCUUAGUAGAACUAAAACCGAGUACAUGAUGUGCGGUUUCAGUACUACUAGCUGUGAGGAGGAGGAGGUUAGCCUUGAUGGCCAGGUGGUACCUCGGAAGGACACCUUUCGGUAUUUGGGGUCAAUGUUGCAGGAGGAUGGGGGUAUUGAUGAAGAUGUGAAACAUCGAAUCAAAGCCGGAUGGAUGAAGUGGCGCCAAGCUUCUGGCAUUCUCUGUGACAAGAGAGUGCCAACAAAAGCUAAAAGUUAG